UUAAAGGGCAUGACCCAAAGUUCACUAAAGACAGUGGGAGUCUUUCUACCGAUUUCAAUGAACUUUGGAUCAGGCCUUGUAUGA
rnacentral:pre_miRNA from 1 species